UUGAGUCACCAAGAGCCCAAGUUCUAUUUCCCCAAAGCAGGGCUGGGAGACACGAGAUUCUGCCCUGGACCUGAAAUGGGCCCCCGGCUCUUCUUCUAUGUGGCCCUUUGUCUCCUGGCAGCAGGACACACGGAUGCUGGAAUCACCCAGAACCCAAGACACAAGGUCACAGAGACAGGAAAGCAGGUGACACUGAAGUGUCACCAGACUGACAACCACGACUAUAUGUACUGGUAUCGACAAGACCUGGGACAUGGGCUGAGGCUGAUCCAUUACUCAUAUGGUGUUCCAACCACUGACAAAGGAGAAGUCUCCGAAGGCUACAAUGUCUCUAGAUCAAACACAGAGGAUUUCCCCCUCACGCUGGAGUCUGCUACCCACUCCCAGACAUCUGUGUACUUCUGUGCCAGCAGUGACUACACAGUGCUGCACGGCUGCCUCCUCUCUGCACAUAAAGAGCAGUGAGAAAGUUUUAGGUUGCCUGUGUCUGGCCCCGCCCAGGGAUGUCCUGGCCUCCAUGGGAGUCCCAGAGCCUUUGCCAGGCUGGGGGCCUUAGGGAAGUGGUUAAUGUGAUCCUCAGCGAGGUCCGUCCCUGAGCCCCUGACCAGAGCUCACCCCAGCAGCCUGAGCUAGCUGGGUCUCUCUCCUGCUGCUCUCUCUUUCUGCUCACAGAAAGAAAAAUGCAUCUUUGGUUGAGAUUGGUGGCAAUUUCUUUGAUCACCUCAAAGCCACCAUGUUGAUUUGAAUUGGAUCUGAAUUUACAAUUUUAAAGGUUAUAUAUUUCCUAAAUCUAUCCAUGGAAUGGUCUAAGAAAUAAUACAAAUUGACUAACUCCUUUCUGUGUUUUGUGGUUGUGUUCUAAGUAGAAAAAGGCAAAGUACUUGAUUUUUAAAUGGUAUUCCCCCAUAAAAGGAACAAAGCACAUCCAGGGCAGAGAAAGUACUGGAACAUCUUUGGGCAGAAAUCAAGCUAAUGUCAGAACCAAGAAGACAUAUACAAAAUCUGUAGACCCAGUUUCUAAGGGCUCCCACUAGCCAAAUAUGGGUCAAUUUAAGCAUUAGAGAAGAAUAAUGAGGAUAAUAGAUUAUAUCAAAUUUUAAAAACAUCUAUGCAGCUAUAAAUAAAAAACAGUAGAUGAGAAUCUCUUUAUUACAGAAGAAUGCCAGUUGAUAUAUUUAAAUAGAAAUCGUUGUAACGAUCAAUGUAGCUAUAGGCAAAAGCUAUCAGUAGAUGCCAAAACCAACAGUUUUUUUCCUACAAUACAGAAAGAAAUAAAACAAAUGUCACAAAAUGUUAAU